rnacentral:rRNA from 1 species
CCUUCCUCUUCAGCAUUGUUCCAAAGGCAUCCACUUGGACGCCUUCCUAG